rnacentral:rRNA from 1 species
UACAGAGGGUGCAAGCGUUAAUCGGAAUUACUGGGCGUAAAGCGUGCGUAGACGGUUAUUUAAGUCAGGUGUGAAAGCCCCGGGCUCAACCUGGGAAUUGCAUUUGAGACUGAAUAGCUAGGGUGCGGAAGAGGGAAGCGGAAUUUCCGGUGUAGCGGUGAAAUGCGUAGAUAUCGGAAGGAACACCAGUGGCGAAAGCGGCUUCCUGGUCCAGCACCGACGUUCAGGCACGAAAGCAUGGGGAGCAAACAGG